rnacentral:misc_RNA from 1 species
GUGAAGAACGUAGCGAAAUGCGAUAAGUAAUGUGAAUUGCAGAAUUCAGUGAAUCAUCGAAUCUUUGAACGCACAUUGCGCCCCUUGGUAUUCCGGGGGGCAUGCCUGUUCGAGCGUCAUUUCAACCCUCAAGCUCUGCUUGGUAUUGGGCACCGUCCUUUGCGGGCGCGCCUCAAAGACCUCGGCGGUGGCGUCUUGCCUCAAGCGUAGUAGAAUACACCUCGCUUCGGAGCGUAAGGCGUCGCCCGCCGGACGAACCUUCUGAACUUUUCUCAAGGUUGACCUCGGAUCAGGUAGGGAUACCCGCUGAACUUAAGCAUAUCAAUAAGCGGAGGA